rnacentral:lncRNA from 1 species
AAAAUAACACAUGUGAAGUAGACUGAAAUUUUAGCACCCUAUUUUCAACUAAAAUAGAAUUUGCUUUGUUAUGAAAAUUAUCCUCAUUUCUUGGAUAAUAAAUAUCGUCGAUAUUUUUAAUAUUAAUGAAGCACAUUAUUAGGAACAAAGGGCCCAAAAAAAUAUCACCAAUUUCUUCGAUAAUAAAUUUUUGAGCAUAUUAUCAAGAACAACCAAAUUUUUUUAUAGGAGGGUGUAUAUAGAAAUAUUUGUGUUACAUGGGAUAUAUAUAGAAAAUUUCACUAAAAGGGCCAAAAAUACUAACAGAUGUCAGCCCAUUCCUUUAUCAUGUCAAAGUUUGGGCCUUUACAGAGAAUUUUUCUAUACAUAUCCCCCGAAAUCCAAAUAUUUCUAUAUACACCCCCUUACCUUAAAGAUUUUUUGGGCCCCCUACCGGCAUGGGCCCUAGGCCGUCGCACUCGCGGCCUAUGCCCUAGGGCCGGCCCUGAAAGCAAAACGCCACUGCACUCUCCACAACUGAAGCUGAGUAUGUCUCUGCAUCAAGUUGUUCUCAAGUUUUGUGGAUCAAAAAUCAAAUGGAAGAUUAUUCACUAAGGUACACAUGUAUUCCUAUUUUUUGUGAUAACACUAGUGCUAUAAAUCUUUCUAAAAAUCAAAUACAACAUUCUAGGUCUAAGCAUAUUGAAAUUAAGCCCACCAAACAUAUUCCUAAAAAUCCAAUACACCACCAAACAUAUUCCUAUUUUUAAUUUAUUUUUUAAAAAAAUAAAUUAAAUUGUCAAGAUAUACAUUUUUGACAAAAAAAACUUUUGAAUUAUGUUACUCGAGCAAACGAGUUGAACCUAACGAGCCGAACCGAGUUGUUCGUGAACAUUAAACGAGCCAAACUCGAGCUAAGAAAAAGGUUUGUAUCGAAUUCGAGUUGAGUUUCGAGCUGAGCCGAUUCUUAUCGAGUCGAGUCGAGCUCAGACAAGGUCGACUCGACUCGUUUCCAGCCCUACUUAUCAUUUAAAAAGUGGAACAAACUAGAUGAUUAUAUUUAUACUUACUUUUUCAUCAUUCCAAUUAUACCCUUAAACAACUUUAUCUAUAAUAAAAUUGUUAUUGGUGUCAUUAAAAAAAUAAUUUAGAAUAUAUUUUUUUUGUUUUUGUUAUAUUGAAUUAUUGUCGGCGUCGUUGAAAUACAUAAUAAUGGUUAGUUUGAUUUUUUAUAACUUGAAAGCAACAACCAUUUACAUUUUUUUAACAUUUAAUCACAAUCAAAAUUACCUAAAAAAACCGUUCAUAAUUUUCAAACAUUAGCGCAAAAAAAAAAUUGAAAAGACGGGCAGUCGUUAGUAUUUAUAAAAUAGAAUAAAAGGAACGAAGUCCACAUGGAAGAAUAUCAUUCCAUAGUUAUAGGCUGUAAACGAGUCCCACAUCGGAAAUCUUGUGAAAUGUAGAGAGUGAAUGUGUUAUAAAAGAAACGUAUGACGACCUUACUUUACGACACUCCUUGGCUGAUGCCUAGGAACAAUUUCAGUUUGUUUGAGUUGCAGUGUUGAUUUUGGAUUGGGGCUUUAUGCCUUAGACUAAUUGUCUUGCCUUUUGUUUUUAAUGGAUUAAAUGUGGUUUUCUUUUGGAAUAUGUUUUGUUAAUCUAGUGUAUUUGGUAGUUGACAAAUAUAUAAUCGUUUUGUUAUGUUAUUGAGUUAAUAGUGUUUUAUCCUCCAGUAAUAUAUGUUAUUUUUGGUUUUUUUUUUCUGUAAAUUUUUUUGUUUAGUUUCCAUCCUUGUAAUUUGUAGAUUUUUGAUUUUGGACCUUCAUGAAUUUUGACUGUACAAAAUAGAUGAUAUGGCAGGGUCGUAAACCGAAAUUUGCUCAAAUUAGCAAGAGGGUAAAUCAAAAUUUUCAAAUUAUAAGGGGGUAAGCCGAAAUUUGAAUAUUUUACGGGGGCGAAAUUUGUCAUGAAGAUCCAAAACCAAAAAAUCUUCAAAUUAUAAGGACGGAAACUAAACAAAAAAUUUUACAGAGGGGAAAACCGGAAUAAAGAAUAAAGAAUUUAUCUCUAUAAAAAAUAAAGAAUUUGAUAUUAAAUUAAAAUAUAAAAAUAUUCGUAACUAAUUUAUUGGAAUUAGAAUAUUUUAAAAUCAAAUUUAUGCAAGUUUAUCUCCAUCAUAUUUCACCGGUUUUUCCUAGAUUACCCUCUCUUGUUUAUGGGGUAUUUAUCCCCUCAUGAUAUCAAACAAUCAAAAUGUAACAUACAUUGACAACAUUAAAUGUCAAAUAAAUGAGUCAAUUUUUUCUUAAAAAAAAUCAAUUUUAAUCAUAAGGUAACUUUUAAUACUUUCAAUUUUUAUUUAAUUAUAGACAAGAUUACAUUAGAGGUCAUUUAUCUAAUUUAUUUAACACUUUGAUACUUUAUCUUUAUUUUUCUUCCGUUUAGGUCUUUUAUCUCUCAUAAAAGCACAUAUACAUCAUUUUUCUAUUAAAAAAAUACAUAAUUUUAUUUUUUAAAAUAUAUUUUUAUUAAAAAUGAAAAAAAAAAUCCAGAAAUAUGAUGAAGAUGUUCAUCAUCUUCAUCUUCUUCCUUUGAAUCGUCAUCAUCUUCAUUGAAUCAAAAAAAAAUCUACACAAAUAUAUCUCCAAAUAUCAUGAAUUAAUGUUAUGUUCACAUCAAAUCUUCUUUUAGACACAAAAAUCAAAAAUCAAAACCCUAUAGAGAAAGAGAUUUAGUUUCAUCACAAAAAAAAAAAAAAAAAUUGUUAUAUAAAUUGUCGCACCGUAUAUUAUUAUUAUUAUUUUCUAACUCAAUAUUCAAACCUGACAUAAAAAUAACCCCAAAAUUGAGAGCAGCUUUGCACAACAAUUUUAUUGUUUCCAGAACAAUCUUAACUUUCGUAAAGCCUAACCUUCCGCCAGCGACUAAGCUUCCAUCAUCCGCCUUGCAACAUUUGUGAAAUUAAGGUUUUGAUUUUUGUACUUAAAAGAAGAUUUGAGGUGAAUAUAACAUUAAUUCACGAUAUUUGGAGAUAUAUUUUAGUAGUAUUUUUUAUUUAUUUAAAGAAGAUGAUGAACAUCUUCAUCAUAUUUCUGGAUUUUUUUCAUUUUUAAUAAAAAAUUAUUUUAAAAAAUAAAAUUAUGUAUUUUUUAAUAAAAAAAAUGAGAAAAAAGAUGUAUAUGUGCUUUUAAGAGAGAUAGAGGACCUAAACGGGAAAAAAUAAAGAUAAAAAACUAAAGUGUUACAAAUAAAUAAGAUAAAGGACCCCUAAUGUAAUCUUGCCUUAAUUAUAAUUAGGUGUUCAAUCUUAAUUAAUUUACACUACAUGAUUGGCUUAGAACAAUUAAAAUUUCACAUCAACUUUAUUUCAUCUGAAUGUCCUUAAAUUUAUCGGUUACAUUCAUAAACUUUCUUCUUCCCAUUUCUAUUGUUCAAUUUUGUCGUUCCAAACUGCCGCAACUUUCAAUUUUCAUGAGAAUUGUUGUCGUUCGUUUGAUUCCAAAUAUCGUGAGAAUUUCCAUUAUUUCCAUGACCGCGUCAGGUAUGGUGACUUGAUUAUUCUUUUUUAUUUGAUUUUUCUUGGUUGUGAGGUAGUUAAUUCUAACAAUCGAGUAAGGCAUCUGUUGUACGUUAUGGACUGCUAGCUAACAGGUGUUGCCACUGUGAUGUUUUGGGAGUUUUCUAGCAUUUUUUUCGGUUGCUCCUGAAAUGGUUAAGUCAUGAGGCUUUUGUUCUGACUUAAAGGCUUUAGCUGAUAGUGAAGCAGGUCUAUGCGUGUUGGCAGAUUUUAUUAAGUUGGCUGCUUAAAUAAAAAAAAUCAAGUCACGAUACCUAACACGAUUCUAGAAACAACGACAAUUCUCACUAUAAUUGGAAACUGCGGCAGUUUGGAACGACAAAAUUGAACAAUUAAAAUGGAAAGAAGAAUGAAAGAAACAAAAAUUGAUCAAUAUGGAAGAAUAAAGAAGAAGAAAUUUGAAUGAAGGAGAUGUUUUUGUUCUCACGUUCGGGGUGUUCUGGGUUCUAGAAUGGAAGAAAUUUUAUGAAUGUAUGUGAUGACUUUAAGGACAUUCUGUAUUAAAAAUUAUCUUAUGAUUAAGACUAACUCUUUUAUUUUUAGAAAGAAAAAAAAAUCGACUCAUUUAUUUGACAUUUAAUGUUAUCUAUGUAUAUUACAUUUUAAUUGAGUUGAUAUCAUGAGAGAGUAAUUACCUUAAAUAAGAGAGGGUAACGUAGACCUGACCUAUUUCACCUCUCUAUUUGGAAAAUGCUUGAUAACCAACCACUCUUUUGUAAUUUAAGGACUUUCCAAGCUUCCUAUUUUAUAACAAAUGUUGCACAUAUUUACCCGUUAACUUAAUAAUGAUAAAAGUUAAAAUUUGAACCUAUAAAAAAAAAUUACAAUCUACCAAGAUAUGUACCACAUAUUUGUCCAUUAUCUUAAUUGUAACAAGAGUUUAAUAUGCUUCAUCCUCGAUUCGUUUGCAUAUUAGCAGGUGUUUGAAUAUUAGUCAACAAGAUAAAUAAGAAUGCUUGUAUGUAUACAUGACACGAUUUCUCUCAACUACAAACUUCUGAGUAGAAAGAACAAAACAAGAGAAAAUUUGCAAUCAUAAAAGAUGUUAGGGGGCUAUAUCAAGUGGUUCAAUGAUCUAAAAGGCCAAUAUGUAAAUGACAGAUACGCUUUCGAAAAUUAUAAAACUCAACUUACCAUAACAUAAUCAUAAUAGGGGUUGAAUUAAACACAAAUUCUUAAUAGACAUUGAAUUAAAGCUUAAUAUAUGCUUUGGUCCCUUAAUUUAUUUUUUAAUUUUAUUUUGGUCUCUUAACUUUAAACCGUCUCAAUUUGGUCCAGUGGCGGUUCUACCGUAUGGCGACCCCGGGCGGUCGCCCGGGCUCGAUCGAUAAUUUUUGCACAUUAAACUCAACCAAAAAGUCCAUUAACACAUUUACAAAAGGAAAAAUUUGGGCAAUCUGAAAAUUGUCACACGUAAAUAGGUCUUGGAAUUUUAUUUAGCACACUAUUGACGGGUUUAUCUCUCUUAUUUUAACGGGUUAAUUGUUCAAAUUUACUCUGUAAAAUACUUUAUGUUUGAAAAAUGACCCAAUAAAAUAUAAAACAUAUAUUCUAGCAUUGUAACUUGAAUUUCUUCUUAUUUAAUUUUGACCACCCUAUAAUAUAUGUGUAGUCUAAAAAUGUGACCUACAGGUUGAAUUUUUUCAUUAUUUUUUCCAUACAUGUUUAGCACGUUAAAAUAUAGCUUUACACAAAAUUAAAUUUCUUCGACUAGGGAUAAAUUAAUUAUGAAUUUUUAUUCCCUCAUAAUUAUGAAUUUCUUAAACAAUUUAUAAUUAAUUUAUAUCUCAUUUAAAAAUUACAAAAUUUCAUCGUGAAGGUUCUUAUCAUGUUCUAGUCAUGCCUACAAAAUUAGGGAACUAAAUUUUCUUGUGAGUAUACGCUUACGCGGAACAAAAUUUCAAUUUGGCACGUUUCAGUUGAAAAAUCAAAAUAAAUUUAAACGACUUCGAAAUGCUAUGAAACUUUACAGAUCCUUUUUAUCUAUUUUUAUAGAUGUCUCUGCAAAUAAUCAGCUCAAAAUUCGAUUUAUAGAUCGAGAUUUCUGUUGUUUUGUUUUUUGAGCUUUUGACACUUUAAAAAUUCAUAAUUAAUUUGUCGUUUGUCGAAAAUUUAUAAUUUUUUUGUUAAAGCCAUAUUUUAACGUUCUUAACUCGCCUCUAGGAAAUCAUGAAAAAAUUCAAUCUCUCGGUUGCUUUUUUGGACUUCGCGUAUAUUACAGGUUAUAAAUAAUAAAAAUCUCGAAUUACAUUGUCAGAAUACAUGUUAUUUAAUUACAUGGUCAAUUUUCAGACUUCACGUAUAUUGCGUGGUCAAUUUCAAUUAAUAAACCUAUUUUAAAUUGCACUUUUGUUGACAAAAUGAUAAACCUCUUUUAUUUCAAUUUUUUUUUAGGAAGAAAAAUAAAAAAUAAAAAAAUUUCGAUUUUUUUUAGGAAAAAAAAUAAAAAAUAAAAAAAUUUCGAUUUAUGACUGUUUAUAUAUUAUGUCACAUGUGAAUUUACGAUUAAUUUUUUGCCCGGCCUCCAUAAAUUUUCUGGCUCCGCCAUUGAUUUGGUCCCAUAACUUUGCCUCUGUUUACCUAAGUGGUCCCUUCUGUUAAAAAAACUAACAGAAGGGACCACUUAGAUAAACGGAGGUAAAGUUAUGGAACCAAAUUGAGAUGGUUUAAAGUUAAGGAUUCAAAAUGAAAUUCAAAAAUAAUUUAAGAGGCAUAAGCAUGUAUUAAGCCUUGAAUUAAACACAAAUUCUUAAUUGUAUAUGACUGUUUGACUAUCUUGAAAACAGAAAUGCUAGCAAUACUGUCCGAAUCACCCAUCUUCCCACAUAUUUUCUAUAAUGGGUUGAAUUUAUGUGGAACCUAUAUAAUUUGGUCGGAUCCAUUUGAAUUCCUUUCAAUAAAAGGACGCAUUACAAUACAUUUUCUGAGUUCUUUCCGCAUAACUCAAUCUGAAUCUAGAAUACAUAGUCGACAAAAAAAACUUUCCUCAAAAAAAUAAAACAUAAAAAACUAUCAUUCAUGUUUAAUUCAGUUGCACAAAACAGAACAAAUUGAGAAUUUGAGAUAAUAAUACAUUUGUAAAAAAUUACAGAUUAUACAUGCAGGUAUAGAAACAUAAAACUGGAAGACACUUGAUGCUAAUUAAAAUUGGGCAAGAGCAAUGUAUUUCUUUACACAUUGAAAAACGCAAAGUGCAUUUCGAUGUUCAACAAUGGAAAAAUUUUGACACCAUAAGGAUUGUUUCAGCUUCUGAAUUGUAUAACCAUAGAUUGCUUGCACACUAUUUUUGUACUCCUAAUGGUUAGUACUAAUAUAACUUGGCCUUCUGAAAGUGCAUUUAGAUAUUUCCUCUGUACUAUUGUCAUUUUUCCGAAAAACUAAAGUUGAACAUUUUCAAUUACAGCUUCUGGUUUGUGUGGCCUGUCGGCUGUAAUAAAUGAUACAAUAUUCUUUUAAUCAUGAUCUAAUCUGAAAUCCAUCGUAAGAAACACGGCAGGAGAUGGAAAAAAACUGGUACAAUUGAAAUCCAAUCUGCUACAUGCAUUCAUUUGAGCUAUUGAGUCUCUAAAGCUUUCUAGUUUAAUAUGAUUUGUUGAUUGUAUUAGAAUAUGUCUAUAUUCUCUAAAGCUAUUGAGCGAUUCCACAUAUCAGAAUUGGUAGCCUUAAGGUCAGCCGAUGCUUUGAUGGCCUGUUCAUCCGACGGCGGGACGAUGUGGUCAAGCAUGUUGUGAACGCGUGCUUGUACCUUGAAGAGAGCAGACCAUGCGAGGUAGAGGUUAGUGUCAUUUUCCAACGUUAUAGGGAUGAUGGUUUUGACGUUAUUGAUGGAGAAAGCGGAGUGAAAUUUUGGAGCCGCCGUUGGACGAGGGACAGAUUGAGUGACUGAUGAAUGUUCAUCAGAAUUUUGAGGAGGGGGGGUUGCUGCUGCCAUGGUAAAGUAGAAGGGAAAUGGCGACGGUGAGAAGAGAAGGGUUAGGUUUGGAUCGGAAGAGGUGAUACCAUGGAAUUUCGAAAUAUGUCUCUCAUGUAGCAGAAUAUGGUGGAGAAUAUGUCUUUAAUAAUUUUCGAAAUAUGUGUUAACUUAAUGGAAUUUCCUUUCGUCUCUCAUGUCCUUAUACCUCUCAUCAAAAUGGUAAAGUUGAGUGAUGACAGUCAGUCAUACACUAUUUUUAGGGUCACUUUUACAUAAGUUUCAGUCUAUUUUAUUAGUUUAGUAUUUAAUUUAGAGUCAAUUUGAAUAAGUAUUGUUUUUUGGUUUAUUGAGUAAAGCAAGGAAACUAUUGAAAUUAAUGGGUUAUUAUCAUGAUUAUUGGUUAUAUGAUCAAACAAGAGCAAAACAAGUAGUGCAAAAAGCAAAUGCUUUGAGAUUCAUUAAUUGAUGGGCCAAUAGAAAAUCAAGAUGGCUUGACUAAAAAGAAAGAAAAACGGAAAAGGCAGCUUGAGGAGAAAGUAAGGAAACUAGGUCACAUGAGUGUAUAUAAGAAGAAGAAACACACACAAAUAUGCAUUCACGUUUCGGCACAUUGGAAUCACGUUUUGGAAAAAGAAAAAGAGCCGCACAGAAGGAAUCAAGCCAGGAAGCACAUGAUAAUUGGAGGACAACAACAGCACCGUGAGAUAUAAAUUGUGGAGCAAAGCCGGCAACGACGGAACUCUACGGUUUAUUUUCUUUAUUAUGUUGUUUAUUCCUUUGAUCAUGUCUAGCUAAUUUCCUUGUUGAUUAAGUCAUGAUGAACCUAUUGUAAUAUAUGAAUCAGUAAAUUAUUAAUGUUAUUCAGUCUUUAUUCAGAAUUACUUGUGUUCAUUGUUUUUCAGAUAAUUGUUUUGUAUGAUUAUUAACCCUAGCUUCGUGCAAUUACAUGAAUUGAUAUUAGGAAUUGAAUGACUAUUAACCCUAGCUUUUAAUCCUGAAAUAGUAAUCAUGUUUGAUUCAACAUAGGAACCUAGAGAUAGGAAAUUGAGGAUCAUGACUCAUGAAUUAACGUUCUUUUAUCGCUUCCGCGGUUAUUCAAUCGGUUUAAGAGAUUAAAAGGUUAUAGCUUAGGAAAGGGUUUUGAGUCAAGAGAUUGAUCAAAUCUACUUAGUUAAUUUGUCGUAAAGAUUGAAUAGUAAUUAGGAAUAAAGGAGGUAAACUUCUCAUAUGAUUCAUCGGUUUAAUCAUCCUUUUCAAAUCAUCUUUCAACAACUUUUAUUACUUUUUAUCCACACAAACCUACUGCCUCAGGCACUUAUAAAAUUUACACAUCCUAGAUAUUAACUUUAUUGCUAAGUUGAGAUUAACACAGUCCUCGUGGAUACGAACUUAUUUUAUUACUUCGAUAGUUUUAGUACACUUGCUAAAAGUUUAUCAUUGAGCGAAAAAUACGAUCCAUUAAUAACAUUAUUCGAACUUUAUUAAUUCAUGCAUUCCUACCUCCAUCAUUUUGGCAAUAUGCUCUAGAAAUGGCCACAUAUAUCUCUAACAUUUUACCAAGCAAAUCAAUCAACUUUCAGUCACCCGUUUCCAUGUUAUACAACAAAAACCCAUCAUAUACUGAUUUACGCAUUUUUGGAUAUUUCCCUUCAACUUAACAAAAUAAAUUGCAUUCUUUAUUUGAUAUACACGAAUAGUUGAAGGGAACUCUCCGAAAAAAUAAUGGAUUAUGGGAGUGUGUGACUUGAACUAUUGAUUGGGCCGUGCAGUAUGACUUGAUCUUAUCUGCCACAUUUGAAUUCACAAUUAAAUGUGUCUUUUUUCCAACCACCGUGCCAGUCCCCUACGGAUGAUAGGCCGGUUCGCUUGAAGAGAAUCUUUUCUAUGAUCAGACUGUAUCAUAUCCUGCAUGAAUAGGCUUCGUAAUAUCCAGUAAUAUAAGCUAAGUAAUGUGAUAUAAUCCGAAUUAUGUUUCUGUAUUUCACUUAACUUAAUAGUAUGGAAAUGCAGUCAUUUCCUAUGCAUUGACUCAAUUUAUGA